rnacentral:lncRNA from 1 species
UUGCGCAUUCACUUGCCUCCAUGACUAAGUGGCUUAACCCCAACGAUGCCGUGGACACCCCGAUAGGGUGACUUUGACAUAAUCAAAGAUUAAGGACUUAACCACAAGACAACUGUGAUGCCUCAGGUCAAAGGACUACUUUGCAUUAUCCCAACCAUGAGUUCUCAUGUGACAUGAGUAUGAGAACUCUUCGUUAAUCGCGUUCAGUGAACUCAUUCUCUACUGAGCACCUACGUACUUGUCUUGAUGUCACACACACCAAUGACUCGAGACUAGUCACUCUCCCUGAGAGAAGACAUAGCACGUAUCGAUCUUGACGGACUGUCAAUGCCCAAUUGGCAAUCCUAUGAUCAGGAACAUUUAGGAUGUGUCUACGAAAGAA